rnacentral:rRNA from 1 species
CAAUAGCGUAUAUUAAAGUUGUUGCGGUUAAAAAGCUCGUAGUUGGAUCUCGGCAGGCAGGGGGUGGUUCGCUCUUAGCGCUACUGCCCCAUUUGCCUGUGUGAUUGGCGGAGGUUUCGGGGUGCUCUUCGUUGAGUGACCCGGGGCGCCGUCAGGUUUACUUUGAAAAAAUUAGAGUGCUCAAAGCAGGCUUUUCACGCUUGAAUAUUCGUGCAUGGAAUAAUGGAAUAGGAACUCGUUUCUAUUUUGUUGGUUUUCGGAAAUCGAGUUAAUGAUUAAUAGGGACAAUUGGGGGCAUUAGUAUUCAGACGACAGAGGUGAAAUUCUUGGACCGUCUGAAGACUGACUACUGCGAAAGCAUUUGCCAAGAGUGUUUUCAUUAA